rnacentral:rRNA from 1 species
UACGGAGGGGGCGAGCGUUAUUCGGAAUCAUUGGGCGUAAAGGGUGCGUAGGCGGCGCGGUAAGUCGGGUGUGAAAUCUCGGGGCUUAACUCCGAAACUGCAUUCGAUACUGCCGUGCUUGAGGACUGGAGAGGAGACUGGAAUUUACGGUGUAGCGGUGAAAUGCGUAGAUAUCGUAAGGAAGACCAGUGGCGAAGGCGGGUCUCUGGACAGUUCCUGACGCUGAGGCACGAAGGCCAGGGGAGCAAACGGG